UCAGGAUGAACGCUAGCGGCAGGCUUAACACAUGCAAGUCGAGGGGUAUAGUUCUUCGGAAUUAGAGACCGGCGCACGGGUGCGUAACGCGUAUGCAAUCUACCUUCACAGAGGGAUAGCCCAAGAGAAAUUUGGAUUAAUACCUCAUAGUAUAGCAGUUUCGCAUGAAACCACUAUUAAAGUCACAACGGUGAAAGAUGAGCAUGCGUCCCAUUAGCUAGUUGGUGGGUAAAGGCCUACCAAGGCGACGAUCCAUAGCUGGUCUGAGAGGAUGAUCAGCCACACUGGGACUGAGACACGGCCCAGACUCCUACGGGAGGCAGCAGUGGGGAAUAUUGGACAAUGGGCGAAAGCCUGAUCCAGCAAUGCCGCGUGAGUGAUGAAGGCCUUAGGGUUGUAAAGCUCUUUUACCCGAGAUGAUAAUGACAGUAUCGGGAGAAUAAGCUCCGGCUAACUCCGUG
rnacentral:rRNA from 1 species